GCGUAGGGCGACCGGGCCAACCAAGCCCCUCUGAAUUAGUUGACGGCUUUGAUGACUCGACGGUGAAUAUUAAGGAAAGGAGAGCGAGGGAAGAGGGGGCAGCCCUCGUCCUGCCGAACAGUUCAGACCAAAUCCCGAAGAAAGCUCAAAAGCGUUGUUUGAUGAGCCUGAAUAGUAUUAGGUAGUUGCUCAGGUAAAGGCUGACCAAGCCAAUGAUGCUUAGCUAGUCUUUUCGGAUGAUCAACCACAUUGGGACUAAGGCAUAGCCCAGACUCCCAUGGGGGGCAGUAGUGGGGAAUCUUGGACACUGGGCGGAAGCCCGGUCCAAC
rnacentral:ncRNA from 1 species